AGAGUGUCAUCAAAAGCCUGGCACCUGGUGAGUGUUUGCUAUUAUUAGAUCCAUCUUUCAAUCCCAACCCUCUUGACUCCGUCCUACAGACCUAAAACUGUUCUCAAGAUCAAAUAGCAUGUUAUGAAAUCAUCCGGGAACGUCUAAGAGGCCCAGCAAGUGUUAAAGCCCUUAAAAGUUUAUUAGACACAUCUAAGCCUUUCACUACGGCUAGAGUGUGACCAUGUGCCUCCUGCUCCUCCUGUCCUGAUGCACCGUACCUCCCUGGAACUGUAAACCAAAACAAUCCAAACACAUCAAUAAAAGAUGGCACUAUGUGAAAGCUACAGGUACCCUGGUUUUCAGAUUGGAAUGUUGGAUCUCUGGUUUCCUAAAAUGAAGAAGAAUCUUCUCUCUGAUCUAACAGCCAAGCAAAGGAAACAGAGCAGGAAGAUGACCGUACCUGGUGCUAGCCUCCCCCGACAGCGUGUACCUUCCAUGGUCUUCCUGCUUUUUCUCCCUUUGUACACACAAUUGACACCCAUAUCCUAUCCUAUAGUGCUGAUUCCUAAGAUUAGACACACUUGCUUUUGUUUGUUUCACUUUGUUUUGAGACCCCAUCUUGUGUGUACACAGUUGCAGUCUGGAUACUGGUUUCUUAGACUAUCAUGAUCAACUUAAGGUCCAUAUGAUCAUUUCCCGGAGACCUAUGCUCAGUCCCAUGGUAUAUUUUCAUUAUUUUAAGGCCAAAUUAUGACAUCCUCAGCCUAGAGCUCAUGACUGAAAUGAAGAACUAUUUGCAAAACCAGCUAGCUAUAGGUCAAAGACAGCACACAGAUGCCACCAUAAGGCAUACUUGAGCAGCCUAUCAUAGCUACAGGCUCUGUUCUUUGUCUUAAAUACUCACAAUCAUACUUUUAAUAUGUUUACCAGCUGUUGCACUUAGUACUCAAAACAUAAACACAGCAUACAGUUUGUAACAAUUUGAGUUUUUUUUUUGAGUGGUUGGGGAUUUAACUCAGUUGUAGAGUGUUUACCUAACAAACAUAAGUCUCUGGGUUUGGUCCUCAGCUCUGAAAAAAAAUUUUUGUUGAGACCCUGUCUUGCAGCAUGUGCCAGUUGGCCUUGAAAUUAGCAUCUGCCUAUCUCAGCCUCCUGAAUGCUGGGCAAUAUGUACAACAAUGCCUGGCUCAGCAGGUUUCAGAAAAGAACAGAAAUUCUCAAACUGGGACUUGAGCUAAAGGCCAUUGGCCAUUUGUGUUAUAUUCUGGCAAAGAAUCUGACUUCCACACAUCCUGAAAAUCUGAGUGAGGCAGGAGUCAGGAGAGAGAUGAGAGAGAGAGAGAGAGAGAGAGAGAGAGAGAGAGAGAGAGAGAGAGAGAGAGAGAGAGAGAAAGAGAGAGAGAGAGAACAAAACAGUGAGCUAUGUUUACUGUAAAUUUUCUUGAAAGAAACACAUCUCUGAAUAGUUUCUUUGAGCUUUGCCUGUUAUCUUUCCUUUCACCUGCUGAAGAACAUCUGGCUUAUUGGCUUAUUUUUGGUCCUGGCUUUAGAUUUGUUACAUAUAGGUUUAAAUAAAUACAGCCUAUUGUACUGACCUUA